GGUAGACUUUGUUUGGGUGUUGUAACUUGUCCUAUGAGAGGCUCCACCCAGCAGCUGACUCAAAAGGAUACCCACAGCCAAACAGUAGAUGGAGCUUGGGGACUCUUAUGGAAGAGUUGGGGGAAGGAUUGUAGGCUCCGAAGGAGAUAGGAACUCCAUAGGCCAACAUAGUCAACUCACCCGGACCCUUGGGUGCUCCCAGAGACUGAAACACCAACCAAAGAGCACACAUGGGCUGGACCUAGGCCCCAUAUGUAGCAAAUGUGCAGCUUAGUCUUCCUUUGGUCUCUGAACAAUGGGAGAAGGGGUUGUCCCAAAAGCUGUUGCUUGUACAUGGAAUAUAUUCUUGUAGCUGGGUUGGCCUCAGUGGGAGAUGUGUCUAGUUCUGAAGAGACUUGAUGUACCAGGCUUGGGGGAUACAGGGGGUGGGGGCUCCUCCCUCUCAGAGUAGAAGGGGAGGAGGGAGAGGGAAGGAUGGUGGGAGGAGGUGACUGGGAGGGGGGCAGUGAGCAGGAUGCAAAGUGACUUAAUAAUGAUGAUGAUGAUGAGGAGGAGGAUAAAAUAACCACUGAAAGUGAUAGCAAACACAGAAAGAACAUUUCACAUUGCCCUCAGAUGAGACAUUGAACAAAGGGUCACACCCAACACAGAGUUCAGAGGAGGUCAUUUAAUAACUCUUCACCAUCUGACCAGGAAUCCAGGUCAUCAAGUAAAAGAAGUUUGUUUUUCUAGAGUGAUGUUAAAACUGAAUUCUAUUUCUGUCCUUGGACCCUGUGGGGUUCACUGUGUGCCCUUUGUAGCUCAGGAAUCUGAGCAUUGCCAGUUUUUCUUUUUUUUCUUUUUUUUUCAUAAUUUUGUGAAGAAAUAAAAGGUAGUAAGCAUUAGUCACAGGAGUUUUCACAAACACACACACACACACACACACACACACACACAAUGAGUUUGGGAUUUCACUUAACAUUGAACAGCUAUUUGUUUCUGGGUGUUACUCAUUGUAGCUUUUUUUUCCCCCCGAGUCCAAAUGGCUUAGAUGUCUCUGAAGUUUGCUUUUUCUAGUUGUAGAACCUGAAAUUUGAGACUGGGAAACCAGUGUGGUUGGGUCCUGAUAAAGUUCACAGGCAGCCUGUGUGCCUUCAUGGUGAAAGAUACAAGAGCAUUCCUAAGGGCUCCGUUGACGGGGACUCUAUCUUGACCCCUGAAUGACCAGAAUGCCUCCAGUCUUUUUCUCCAGUUUUUUUCCUGACUAUUCAGUGUAAUAUUUAUCAUUGCAAUGUGCUGUUUAAUGAAAGUGUGGUGGUUAGUCUGUGUCAACAUGACACAAGCUGGAGUUCUCCUGGGAAG
rnacentral:lncRNA from 1 species